UUUCAACAACGGAUCUCUUGGUUCUGGCAUCGAUGAAGAACGCAGCGAAAUGCGAUAAGUAAUGUGAAUUGCAGAAUUCAGUGAAUCAUCGAAUCUUUGAACGCACAUUGCGCCCCUUGGUAUUCCGAGGGGCAUGCCUGUUCGAGCGUCAUUUCA
rnacentral:rRNA from 1 species